rnacentral:misc_RNA from 1 species
CUAACAGCAGUAAGACUAAGC